rnacentral:rRNA from 1 species
UACAGAGGUCUCAAGCGUUGUUCGGAUUCAUUGGGCGUAAAGGGUGUGUAGGUGGCGCGCUAAGUCAGACGUGAAAUCCCUCGGCUUAACCGGGGAACUGCGUCUGAUACUGGAUGGCUUGAGAUUGGGAGAGGGAUGCGGAAUUCCAGGUGUAGCGGUGAAAUGCGUAGAUAUCUGGAGGAACACCGGUGGCGAAGGCGGCAUCCUGGACCAACACUGACACUGAGGAGCGAAAGCCAGGGGAGCAAACGGG